UCCCAGUGAAGAAAAAUUCACACAUCUUACCUCCUGUUCUAGCCCCACAGCCAGUAAAGGUAGACCCAUGGGGACUGCCUGGGAGAGGAGGAAAGUUUGUUCCAGAAGAAACUAUCUGAGGGAU